AAUCAAACAUCUUCUGCAGGUGCCCUUUGGGGAGAAUAGGGAAUCAGGUGCAAAUCCUGAGCGGUCCCGCCACUGUAAACGGAGAGUCUGCAUCAGUAAGCCACUGGCCCGGAGGCUGGGAAGGUGGAUGCAAGACCAUGACCCGUGAGUCAGGAGACCUGCCUGUGGAAGUCCGCCGGG
rnacentral:ncRNA from 2 species